rnacentral:lncRNA from 1 species
CCAAUGUCAAUUGGAUAGCUGUCGACUGGGAAGCAGUCUGGGCCGAGAAGCAAGGCCUCUCUGUGAAGCUUCUGGGUCAGCCUCUGGCUGACCAAAGAAACUGUGAGACAGCCAAUUCCCUUUCCAAUGAAGGGACCUGACAAUUACAAAUGUCUGGCUUGUUCAGAAACAUACUGACACCUAGUCACCCAGGGCUCUGUCCAGGGCCCCAGGAACACUGAGAAGGAGCGAAAUUUGGACAGUGGGAAGGUCUGCGCCAUCAGUGCUG